UUAUGCAAAAAAUAACUGACAAAACACAUUUCCUUGUCAGAUGUGCAAUCAUUUUGCAAGACACUUUCAACGAGAGCAACUUGAAGAAAACUAAACUCAGAGAAAAUUUAUUUGGUAAGGUUGUACUGACAAAUGUAAACUAACUGGUGCAUGCAGUAUACUGUUUGAUUCCUACAUAGAUAUAUUUGAUUCCUUUCAACAGCGCUAGCUUAAGCUUGAUUCUGUUUCAUAUAUAAGCGCGCGGUUUAAAAACCGAUAGAAACUAUAAUAACAUAAUUGAUUCAGUUAUACAGUAUAUACUCAACUGCAUGGUGGGUCACAGACACAGGGUCAGCGUGCUCUUUUCAAUCUUAAGCUUGAAUAAAAGCAAGGAAUUUCUGCAACAACAAAAAAUCUUUUCAAAAGGAAAAUAAAGGGACUAAUGGGGCGAGCCAACAUGUCAUUAUUUACAUUUCAGUCAUUUCCUCAGAAAACAUGAUAACUAUAUAAAUGUACUGUAUAGGGGUAAUUAAUCUAUGAACAAGUAAAGCCAUCUUAAAAUCUAAACUAUUGGAUAAUAAGAGUUUUACAAUGCAGGACUCAAAUGACUCAGCUGACAAAUCUGAGAAUAUUGGAUUGCCUCAAAAAAAAUUUACCAAGUUACUUUGAAUAGUGGUUGCAAGGCUUUUUUUUAUUAAGGAAAUAUAACUUGCAAGUGAUGAUCGAACCAGGCGGGAAUCGUAAUCGUAGUAUAGAGAUUAAUGCCCAGCAUAACGUACGCAAAAGAGCCAUAUAGACAAUAAUAUAAUAUAAAAAUUUAUUUAAGAAGUACUAACGUUUCGCCUUUAACCUAAGACAUCUUCAGAGUAAAUGAAUAUAAUAUGACAAUGAGUUACAAAUAUGAAUAAAUUACUAUUUACAAUAUCAAAUUACAGGGUAAUAGGAAUGCGGACGAUGGGGGUGGAGUUAAAGGAAAGAAAUCUGAGGAGUGAGAGAGGAAUGGAGCUACCUUGCUGAUUCAAAGUAGGUUUGAGCUUUGAGAUGAGAAGACGUUCACGGACGAGAAGUUCAUGUGGAGAGGAACAGGAUGAUAGGAUCUUAAAAUCAUCAAGAGAAGCAGUAUGACCUGAGUGGCUCAGAUGGGAAUGUAACUUCUCCGACAUCAAAAGGCCGGCAAGGAUGAUGAAGCAAUUUUGAUCGACGGUGUAGGUUUCAAACUUGACUUAAAAAUCGUGCACCUGGGCUUGUAUUCUAUCACUGCGCAGGACUAGUAAAGUUAACGAGCGACAUGAAGUGGGCGCGGGUGUGUAACCAUUUUCUCAGCCAAAAUUUUGUCUGAAUGCCAGUCACCCGACACACUGAUUACUGCCAAAUUCCAUUCUCAACAGGAAACUUUCUGUGUUGCUGGUACAAAUGGCACAAAUCCCAUUCUUAUAGUGAUCCAAAUUCUAUUUUUCCGGUGAGAAUAUAGGCUACACCCAUUUUAUUGACCCCUUCAUGCACGAGCUUCAUUACUAAUACGUAUAUACAACGGAGCUUCCUUCUGUCGUAUUGCGCGUAUCAUAUUUCAUUUAUCAACUUUUCCCUAUACAAAUCACCCCAAAAUUUGAUUUUUUUCGCUUACGAUUGCUCUACGAUUAUAUUUAUUUAUUUAGCUUUGCCAACUAGGGCAGGGUCACCACAACAGCAUAUGCCAAUUACUGUGGGCCCUUUUUACCUAACCCAACCUGUCAACGUUCCCUGUGGGAGGAAACCGGAGUACCCGGGGAAAACCCACGGCUUUCGGCAGAGCGUUGACUUUUUACUCUUUUCACAUGGGGACUGGGUUCGAGUCGCACUGAGAAGGUACUUAGUGAGACUCGAACUGCAGCCUCAGAGGUGAAAGGCAAGUGCGCUAACCACUUGGCCACCGAAGCCCCACAACUGGUGUUCAGUUACCGUCGGUAUAGGAAAGAAUAAGCCUUUAGACGUCUUUUGAAUGUACUUUUAAUUUAAUUUAAUUUAUUAACUUUGCCAGAUUCAAACAAUUAACGUUAACAUAAAAACUGGCAGGGCAAUCGCAACAGCUUGCGCCAAUUACUGCGAUCCCUAAAUGUUAGACAAAUACACUAUAUACGUACAUAGAAAAAUCAAUUAUUAACGAACUAUAUCAGAUUCAACUUUUCACAUUGCGACCCGCAUGACCACUUCUAGUUUCGGAAGCUGACUGAAUCAGAAGACGUUUAACCCUCACAAUCCUAAACCUUCAGCAAAACCCUGGAUAGGCCCAUAGAUACCAAUGCGAAAAGCUACUUCUGAAAACUAUUAAAAUCUAAAAACAACACGUUAUCGGCCUUGUAAGGUCGCGAGCUUGAUUGCAUUUUAAGCAAACCGUUUUCCAUGUUCGUGGAUCGUCAACGUCAUAACAUUUAUCUAAUGCUGUUUUAUAAUAGAUAUACAACUUAUUUUUAAACUCCUUUAAGGUUGCCAUGCCAUUAAUAGUAACUAAAUCCCUUGGCAGUGUGUUCCAGACUCUAGUAGUCCUUAUUAGAUAGGAUUUUUGAUAGGUAGAUGUUUUACAUGCUGAAGUCUGAAAUUGUAGGCAGUCGGGAUUUGUAGAACGGGUACGUUGACUUGAAUCUUGAGGGUAUGGUAGUAUGUCGCUGCUUAGGUUAAUAAUGUCAUGAUGUGAUUUGAAAAGGAACAAUAUGUCUAGGUACUCAUGCCAGUAACACAAAGGUAGUAGAUUCAAUGUUGCGAGACGAUGGUUAUAGCUGAUGUCACAGAAGAAAGGUAGGUUCAAUAUGUAUUUUGACGCACGUCUUUGAACGCGUUCUGUACGCUUAAUGAGGUCAACAGUUUGUGGAGCCCAGACUUGGGACGCGUAUGCGAGGUGGGAACGAACGAGGGUAAGAUAUAGAGUCCGACGAACAGAGAUGGUCUUGACUUUGAUCGUGGACCGUCGAAUAUACCCGAGGGAUUUGUUGGCUUGGGUGCACUGGUGGAGGACUUGUUUGGACCAUGUGAGGGUGGAGGAGGUCCAGACGCCAAGGUCACGUUCGCAAUCUGUGGUUUUCAGAGCGGAAUCGUGCAAUUUGUAUGUAUGGUCGAUUUUGUUGCGUUUUCUAGUAAUUCGAAGUGUCUUACAUUUAUCUGUGUUGAGGAGAAGAUUAGCAUUGGCAGAGGAGGUUUGGAAGUUCGCAAGAUCAUUCUCCAUAGCGGAUGCAUCAGCCUUCGCGUUUAUCACCUUGUAAAUCUUUGUAUCGUCAGCAAACGUCGCGAUCUUCGAGUGGUUGAUGGAGUUGGGGAGAUUAUUCUGAUAUAAUAGGAAUAGCAGAGGUCCAAGGAUUGAGCCUUGUGGAACUCCGGAGGUUACUGGUAGUGCUGAUGAUGUUGCACCAAGUACUGUAGUCUGCUGCCGACGGUCCUUGAGGUAAGAUCUAAACCACUUUAGAAUAUUUCCACCGAAUCCAAAAUCACGAAGUCGUUUCAACAGUUGCAUGUGGCUUACUCGAUCAAACGCCUUGGACAUAUCCAAGUAGAUCACAUCAACUUGUUUCCCAAGAUCCAGCUCACGACCAAUAUACUCAAAGACUUCAAUGAGCUGUGUAACACAGGACUUCCGAGGAACAAAGCCAUGUUGACCGUUGUUAACCUGUUCGAAAACGUGGUCUUUGAUCUUAUUGAACACGCAUCUUUCCAAUGCUUUCGAGAUAAGCGAAAGAAGCGAAAUCGGUCGAUAGUUUUCUACGUGCUCUUUGUUGUCUUUUUUGUGGACGGGAACAACAUUUGCUAGUUUCCAGUCGCGUGGUAACACACCAGUGUUCAGAGAUUUAUUAAACAAGACAGUUAGUGAUGGAGCAAUUUGGCGAGCUGUUUCUUUUAAUAAUCGUGCAGGAAUCCCAUCUGGACCUUGAGCUUUAUUAAUGUCGAGAUUAUGCAAUACGGAGAAAACGUCGGCUUCCGAAAGGGUAAUGUCCUCGAUGAUAGUAUUGUUAGACUGAUAUGGAAGAGCUUCAGGGCUGCAGUUUUCGAUAUUUGGAUCAGUGGUAAAUAUAGAUGUGAAGUAGUUGUUGAAGAGGGUAGCAAUAUCUGCUGGAUUUCCCGCGAAUGCUCUUUUGGUUUCAUUUACUUUCACCGAGAGCUUUUGAGGAAUGUUCCGGGUCUUAUUAUUGAGCUUGAACAGGGACCAGAAGCGUUUGGGAUUAAGCCCACGGCUGGAACAAAUAGAGUCGAAAUAUUUGGAGCGACUGUUACGUAACAUGCGCUUGAUGGAACUACGAAGGGUUUUGAACUUUUCAACGAGAUAUUCAGUUGGUGUAUGGGAUUUCUUAAUUCUGAGGCGGAGAGAGUUUUUCUUCUUGAUGUUGUGUAGAAUUGUAGAAUUCAUCCACGGAACAUAGUUUCGACCCUUUACUCUCGUAAAUGGUAUAUGUUGGGAUACUGCUUCUAGGAACGCCUUCUUCCAUUGUUGCCAGUCGUGGUUGAUAUUGUCGUCAGUUGUAAUCAGGGAAUCCAGAUUUAGACAUUCAAGGGAAGUUCGUAAGCCAGCAAAAUCACCUUGACGGUAAUUAUAGACAGUUCUGCGUAUCUUUGGCAGUUGAUUAUGACACAAUGAAAGUUCAAACACAAUAAUGUUGUGAUCAGUGAAAAGUUCUGCUUGAGUUGGAGACAAAAUUUCACAUAUUUUGACUUUGUUGGGAAUAUUGGUAAGAACGAGAUCUAACGUGUUGUUACCUCUAGUAGGCGCGGUGUUUAGUUGUUCCAAGAAAUGGUCAUGGAGCAGUUCUACGAAGGUAUUUUCGUUACCACCUGAUGUUUUCUCUGGCGAAUCCCAUGAUACAUGUGGCAUAUUGAAAUCUCCUGCAAGCACAAUGUUUGAGUGUCCCAAACAAACAUCACCCAUAAAGUUAUUGAACUUGUCCAACCAACUAUGAUCUGAGUUUGGUGGACGAUAACAAGAACAAAUUAAUAAACUUGCGUUUGAAGUGGUUGUUAUUUCAGCCACGGCGAUCUCCAAAUCAUGACCAUGUUGAAUUUCCCGCACUGAUUUGAAUGACGAAAUCUUUAUCGCUAACAGUACUCCACCACCACGAGAUUCGCGAUCCUUUCUGAAUAUGUCGUAUCCCGAAUGCAGAAUUUCCGAGUUUUUAAUAUCCUCGUUAAGCCACGUUUCGUUGACACAAACAAUGUCGGGAUCUUCGGAAUAGACCAAGUUCUGGAAGCGUUCAAUGUUGGUAUCUGUUAAGUUGUUUCCGAUGUUGGUUUUAUGUAAACUCAUCAGACUUCGAGCAUUGAGUGCAAGACAUUUUAUGAACCGAUUUACACGAUCCGUGUGUUUGUAAGGUCCAGGAUUCGUUGCGAUAUCUCCGGCAAGCAAGAGUAAUAUAGACGCAUGUGAGAUCUUACGGUUAAUUUGUAAGUUUAAGCCGUAGCGAUGCUGGUUAUUGCAUGGUAAGUUAUAUUUUCUGAAAACAACAUCACGGGUGGAUACCCAAACAUAGCAUAGUUUUUCAGGCAGAGAAACAAGUUCGGGGCAGAUUAAAAUGUUUUCUGGUGUAAUUUGGGUGUUAUUAGCAUUUCGAUUAACUUUCACACACAGUUUCAAAAUUGAAAAAAGAAGUAAUAUAUUAGUUAUGAAGCGUCCAAUCUUUGCUAGAUUUUUCGUCCCAUCUGAAGUGAAUUUUGGAACCAUUUCUGAAUUCAAAGCUUACACUCGCGUAAUUUAUUCCGAUUGUUUUGAUUUAUUCAAUUUGAUGACGUACGGAUUUAAUUGCGUGUUUGCGAUGAUGACGAUGAUGUGCGUAAGCAAACGUUCAACUCGCGUAAAAUGCUAAGACAAAAAUCCCCCGACUUUCGAUGCAAAAACCACUCCAAACGACGCUUUCUUGAAUCAAAAUCUCCAAAAAUUCACAAAUCCAAGUUCCUGAUACUCUUAGACGACUUUAUUAUAAGUUUUUUCUCCAAAGCAAUGUUUUUGGACUUGCUAAAAAGCAAAUUCUUAAGGAGCUCCCUCGCGCGCGCUCGCACGCGCGAGGAUCGAUGACGUUUAUGGGGAAAUCAUUCUUAAUUCGAAUGUCACUUUUCAUUUGAUUAUGGGCUAUUUGUUAGAAUUUGUAUAGGAAAUUCGCCUCGCACGUGGUAUCUGUUGAAGAAAACUGGCACUAGGACCUUCUGCGCAGGUCUUUGACUCCAGCUACCGCCCGAUGUCGAAGUCUUCGUGAAAUUUGGCGCAUUUUGAUAGCAAAUUCAUGUUUAUUCAUGGCGAUUUAGGAAUGUCAAAAUGAGCGCAAAGAUUUGGGUUUUGCUUGUGUUUACAACCUCAUUAAUAAUUCACUUGCUCGGCUGCAGGAGAUGGCGAAGGGACGUCUCAGACUCGAUCUCGACUCUACCUUAUAUACCUUAUAUGUCUUACAUUGUACACCAGAUAAGUGUUGAACAAUAUUGUAAUGAUUUUACGUUUAGUUAUAGUAUACUGCCUCAUUAUAAUUGAAGUUUACGCUUGGGAAAUGCUGCUUAGUAAUAUACGUUAUUCUGAUUAAUACCGUAUAAUAUCAACAUACAAACGGAAAAAGGAUCAAAGUUAUGAUUCGUGCUUGGCCAUUGUUGUCAAUCGUAUAAUUCAUAAAAUGCGUUGCCUUGUUUACUCGAUACAUCGUGCUCGAUUUAUAAGCCAAACGGUUUGGUGCUCGAAGACGAAGCGUGCGCUUUGGUCUCUACGCCAUAUAAUAAUAACAAUAAUAAACUUUAUUUAAUUUAAAGAAGGUAUUUAUAAUACAAAACCAGUUUAGCACAGCUAAUCUUUAAUAUAAUGGGCCUCAAUACUGGGCUUGAAAAUGACGCACGUCUGUAAUUUCACAUUAAGUGGACUGGACACUAGUUUGAGCAAAUGUUCAUUCAAUUAUGCACCUGGGGCAAAAGUUUGAUAUCAUUAUUCAGUGUAAUGAAUGUUUUCUUCGCUCAAACGAUCCCUUUAAUGGUGAAAAAAAUAUGUUUGAUCUAUAUUAUGUGUGUUUACUAAGCAUGAUCAUUUUUAUGAAAAAUGUUGAGCAUGCAAUUCUGCUCCGCGCAUCCUAUAGUGCUUUUAAAUGACCGAUUACAUCAAGUACUACCAUUGCUUAUAUUACAUACUCUGCCUAGACAAUUUAUCCUUACAACAUUGUGACGUACAUUACUUUCUUAGCUAUGUUUAUCCAAAUCAACCCUGCAUGUUCCACGAUUUUCGGCGGCACAGCGUUGACCCUUUUCACGAAAUACAGCGAAGUCAAUAGUCAUAAUAACUAACAGUAUAAUCUAGGGUAAUAAUAUUAUAAUUACUUCACACUGCAUGUUUGCUGUUGUGGACAUUAUGUUGAAAAUAAAUUUUUUUCCCUCGUGUCCUUCCGUUUCAGGAACCUCUUUAUGAAGCUGGAGAUAGUAUUCAAAUACAUUAUAACGAUUAUAUAAGGAAUUAACCUGUACUUAUUUCGCAAACAUUUUUGGAUUUUGAUGAUUUUACUGAAUUUUACGAAGAUAUGUCUGAACCUGCGUAGUUGCUAGCUUAACUAAAAUCAUAUAGCGAUAUCGUCAUGGUUAAAUCUGGACCUGCCUAUAAAGAUUAAGUUAUCUCAUCUCGUAGUAAAAAGCAAGAGACAAUCUUCCGUUUCAAGAAAAUUCUUUCACUUUGAUAGUCUUCAUUGUUAUGCAAAAAAAUAUCAAACCAUGACAAAACACAUUUCCUUGUCAGUUGUGAGGCACUUUCCGGUAGCGAGAGCAACUCGAAGAAAAUAUUAAUUUGGGGAAAUUAACCUCUCAAAGAAAAUUAAUUUGGUAAGUUGCAUGCCACUGACUAUCAAACUAAUUGAUGCAGUAUACUGUUUGAUUCCUAUACAGUUUUAUUUGAUUCCUUUCAACGGGCUUUAAGUUGUUCUGUUUUACAUAUAAGCGCGCGGUUUGAACGGAUAGAAACUAAUAACAUAAAUGAUCUAUUCUCGACUGGUGGGUCAGCGCGCUCUUAUAAAAAUUUGCUAUAUCUUAAGCUCGAAUAGAAGUAUGGACUUUCUGCAACAGCAAAAAUCAUUUGAAGUGGAAAAGAAAGGGAAUAUGGGGCGAGCCAAGAUGUCUUUAUUUAUAUUUGUCAUUUGCCCAAAAAAGAACCAUAUAUAAAUGCAUGUACUGUAUAGGAGUAUACUUAAUCUAUGAACCAGUAAAGCCGCGUCUUAAAAUCUAAAAUGGAUAUGAUAACAAGAAUUUUUCAGAAUUCAAAUGACUCUGACAAAUCUAACCACUCACCAUAAUGGAUUGUCUCGAAAAUAAAUUACCGAGAUUACAUUGACUUCUCCGACUUCAGUGAAGGACGGCAAGAAUGACGAAGAAAUUUUUAUGUCACAAUUAUUAAAAAUCGUGCACCUGGGCUUGCACUCUGUCACUGUGCAGGACUACAUGUGUUUACUGAGGGACAUGAAAUGGGAGCUGGUGUUCAAUCCCAUUUUUUCAGCCAAAAUAUCGUCUGAAUGCUAGUCACUCGACCCAAUCAUUUGUCAAAUUCCAUUCUGAAUAGCAACAUUGCUCUUACAAAUGGUACAAAUCCCAUUCUUAGUGAUCCAAUUGUAUUUUCCCAGUGAGAAUAUAUGCUACGUACGUAUAUACCCAUUUUAUUGACCUCUUCAUGCACGAGUCUCAUUACUGAUACCACAUACUGGCCACGGAGCUGUCUUCUUAGUAUUAUUGUAGCCAUGUGUGUAUAGUGAAUGUUUUCUUCAGUCGUUUUCUCGAGGUCACAACACAAGUGUUACGAAAGUAUAUCUAAAUAGAUAAAAAUAGUUCAAUUUGCGCCCCAGGUAAUUAUAGAUACUAGUUACGUCAAAUGGAGAGAUAAUGAGCAUUUUUGCUGUAAAACGCAGAUAAAGUAUAUAUCAUUUCGGACGUGCGUAAAAGUGUCAAUUAUCUGUCCAUUAGGCAAGAUAAAUAAUUUGUCAAAGUUGGACGAUAACCUUGCAUGGUGGGCUGUUGUGUUUACAUAAUUCAAAGUCCAAGGCUGGUUCUUCUCUGACAUGAAAAUGUGCAUGCUUAGGGCCUUUCUGUCAAUCAUUUUUCAGUAUAUUUCGAGCGGUUGAAUAAUGAUAACAUUACGUCAUCAAAAUCUUGGUUCUAUAAAAUUGUAAGUAAAUAUGGGUUAAGUAGUUAAAGUAAGGUUCACAUAGAUAUAAGUUGAAGUUUUUACUAUGUUAUUUUGAUAAGCAUUUUAAGUUGUGAACAUAUUUUAACAUUGAUCGAUUGAACAGCGAACCAACUCGACAAGUGCGACAACGCCUUAAAUAAACAGAAUUUGAGAGCUGGAACGAGCUAGCAACGCCAACCUACACUUUUAAACCUCAACGUUAAUUGGCUGGAUACAAAUCACACCACUUGCUACAUCACGUGUACAAAGAUCCCCUCAACCGUUAGUAUAAAAGUGCGUGCACAACCGAAAUUCUCAGUGGAUGAAUUCUCAGUGGAUGAAUUUUCCGUGGAUGAAUUCUCAGUGGAUGAAUUCUCAGUGGAUGAAUUCUCAGUGAAUGACCUCUCAGUGGAAUUUCCUAGUGGACGUACGCUGAAUCAAGCUUAAAUGAUGAAAAAGCUACUGAAGCUCAGACGAAACUAGACAACGACAAAGAAAAAAACGAACAGUGAACAAACGAAAGAGGCUGAAGAAAGAAGAUAACUUUGAAAAGGAACGAUUUCAAUAUUAACAUUAGUAACAAUAAUUACAAAAGUUGUAUAACGAUUCACUGCCUAAAUAAAGCCUCGUAACACAAGGACUAAGGCAUACGAAAAAACUAUCGAAUUUUUCCAUGAUGUUUUACAGAGAAACGUCACAGCUGCAACCCCCCACCCCCACCCACAAACAAUCAUAUGACGUUUCUCGACAAAAUCCAGCCUCGUACCCAGGCGCAAUUAACUAAAAAUAGGCAUACUACAGAUUUUUUAUAUAGAUCAGUGGCUAAGAUGAGCGAGCGCGCGGGGGUCAAGCACCCCCGCGCGCUCGAGCCACUGAUCUAUAUAAUAACACUGUAGUGUGCCCAUUCUUAGCGCCUGGGUACGAGGCUGGACAAAAUCGAUAUGUGAGGCGGCCUUAUAUAAACACGACAAAUAAAUAAUUGUAUUAAUCGUUCUUCAUUUUUCAUAAACAUGUUACGUGUAUUUUUGGGCUUUAUUUUCUCUAGCAAAUUCACCGUAGCAGAAGAAGGUUCACCGACUAUGUCUUUUAUCAGUUUUGUGUUGUUUGGCUUCGUGUUGGUUCUCACAGAGCAUUUUGUUGCCUGUAACGUUGUUAGUAAAACAGUGUCGGAUGAAGUAGAGAAGAGAAAUGUUAACGUUGGUAUCCCGGUA